UAUUACAAUAGUCACCUUUCUCUUUCAAGUUUUCUUCACCAACAUUGGAUCGCAAGCAACAGCAAAGGUCAACAGCGUUGAAAAAUGGAGAAGAUUCAGAUACAAGUCCCACGAGUCAAACUGGGUAGCCAAGGCUUGGAGGUAAAAUUUCUGGAUAAUUUCUCCUUCCUAUAUGGACAUUUUUCAUUCUCCUCAUUAACCACUUUGUUCAUCAUCCAAAGUUGUUGUUUACAAUGGACUGAUUCUUAAUUCAGCAUCAGGAGGGAGAAUACAUUAAACCAUUUUUCCAUUUUCAUCAAAUGCCUGUUAUUGUCAAUCUCUGCAGUUUAAGAAAAGAUCCUUGUUUUCAUGAUCACCAACUCAGGAAUUAUUUUACCCAAAAAGUUGGCAUGAUUCUAUUUUAAUCACCCAUAAUAGGACUUUGUUCUCCAAAUUUCAACUCCACCCCAAGGAAUCUUCAAUCUGGUGGAGUCUUAGCCUGCAUUUAGUGCAUGCUGAUACUUGUAGAAUAAAUGUCUUUUACUUUUACAAUUUGGAUUUUGUUUUCAAGCAGUAGAGAAUGGUAAUUUUGACCUGUUUUGUAUAUCAGACUAUUUUAGAUUCACAGGUUAGAGCCUGAGUAUGAUGAUAGUGGUAGUGUAUACGUCUCUAACUCAAGUAUGCUUGGGUAAACAACUUAAUUAACCGCUUAUUCAUAAGCUAAUUUGAGAAACUUAUUGAAAUAAGAAAUAAGUUAUAGACUUAUGGUAAGCAUAAACUCUAUUUCAUUAGUUAAUCUGAACAAUCAAGUUAGAAAAAAGAUUACAAACCAUACUGUACUGUAUGCAAGUAAGAGUUACAUAAUUAACAUUUCAAUUUUCAGCUACUCCUUCUGACAUUCUAAAUCUCUCUCUAUAUCCCUGCCUCUCUUGAUUUCUCCCUUUUAGCUGGCCUAGUCUUUGAUUUAGUAUUUGUGAUUGUGAUAAGAUAAGGACACCCCCGCCCCCUCCCGUGUGUAUUUUCAUUUUUGCAAUGCAGGUUUCUAGGUUGGGCUUUGGCUGUGGAGGAUUGUCUGGAAUUUAUAAUGCUCCCUUGUCGCAUGAAGAAGGAUGUUCAAUUAUUAAGGAAGUGUUCAAUAAGGGGGUUACCUUCUUUGAUACAUCAGAUCUUUAUGGAGAUAAUCAUGAUAAUGAAAUCAUGGUUGGUAAGGUAACAUAUUAUCCAACUAAUUCAUUGAGUGGUGGAAAACAUAAUUAUCUGUAUGAGCUGCAAAUUGUGAUAAUUUGAUUAGUCAUGUGUUAACAACUGAUACACAAAGAAAUUAUACUUUACAUGUAGCAAGUGGCAUGUAGUUAUGUUUCACCAAUAUCAUUAUAACAUUGCAUAAAAAUGAGUUUGUUUACACUAUCAUCUCGCUGGGAAAGACAGAUUUGUGGGAGAUUUAAAAGAUACUUAGAUGAGGCCUUUUCUUGUGUCAUCAGGCUUUAAAAGAACUUCCCCCGAGAAAAAGUUCAGUUGGCUACAAAAUUUGGUGUUACUAGAUCAGAAGGGAUAGUUCUGCAAUUGGGAGUAAAAGGUACUCCUGAAUAUGUGAGGGAGUGCUGUGAAGCAAGUCUUAAGCGUCUUGAUGUCAAGUAUAUUGAUUUGUACUAUCAGCAUCGAAUAGACACUUCAGUGCCAAUUGAAGACACUGUAAGCUUUGAAUGUUUUUCCUCUGCGAUCCUCUAAGUUUUUCAAUCUAGAUGAUUAAGUGCUUUAACAUUGAUCUUUGUAUAUAUGGAAGAUGGAGGAGUUGAAACAACUAGUAAAUGAAGGAAAGAUAAAUUAUAUUGGGUUGUCAGAGGCUAAUGCUGACACUAUAAAGAGAGCACAUGCUGUUCAUCCGAUCACUGCUCUGCAAAUGGAGUAUUCAUUAUGGAGCCGUGACAUUGAAGAAGAUAUAAUUCCACUUUGCAGGUAUUUUACACACAAAUACUAACUGUGCUGUUCUUAUAGUCACAAAUUACAAGUAUACUUGAAUUUUUCAGUUUGAUAUGUUUUCUAACUCUGUCAUGUAUGCUUUAAGGUUGGAUUAUCUCUAAAUUAUCUGAAAGAAUUUGCUUUUAUUUAACUUAUAAGCAUUUGUGCUUGCAGAGAACUCGGGAUUGGAAUAGUAGCAUAUAGCCCUCUUGGUCGUGGUUUUUUUGCAGGAAAGGCGGUGGUAGAAAGUUUGCCUAGUCAAAGCUUGCUGGUAUGUAGCUAGUAAUAACUAACAAAUGAUAGUUUUAAGUUUGCAUGACUAAGGGAAGGUUUGAACUAUUCGUUGGAUCACAUCUCUCCGGAGGGAAAAUGGAAUAGAUAUCAGUGUUAGUUCUAGCAUGUUUAAAUCAUUUCUUUUUCUUCAGGAUCAAUUCUGAAUGCCAGAAGCUACAAGCUACUCAUAGUAGCUUCUUAUCAGAAUUGAUUUUGGCUAUCAAAUGUAGAAGGAUUUCCAAACAUGCAAUUUUAUUCCUGCAGCGAUUCUCUACUGAAAUUUCUUCAUGUUUCUGGUAACAGACUAUGCAUCCCAGGUUCACAGGAGAAAACUUGGAAAAGAACAAGCUUUUCUAUAAACGACUUGAUGACAUGGCUUCUAAGCAUGCAUGCACUCCUUCUCAAUUAGCCUUAGCAAUGGCUUCUCCAUCAGGGAAAUGACAUAAUCCCUAUCCCUGGUAGAGUCUUAACUAUAUUUAGGAAGACUUAUGUGUUCAAUAUAAGCAUGAGUUGCUUACUAUCUGUUUCUAAAGUUAAUCUUUUUUAUCAUUUGAUAUUCUGCCAAUUUACUUUCUAGAUUUUACUAAUUUCUCUUAAUAAUCACUACUCAAUGAAGAAGGAAAAAAACAUGGUAUUACCAUGUUUGGAUCGGUUUUUCUUUCGUUAGAAUCAAUUCUGACACCCAAACAUUACUCACAAAAGCUUCUCCCCAUGAUUGAUUUUGACUUUAAAAUCAAUUGCAGAAGGAUUUUCAAACAUGCACUCAAAUCCUUUUCUAUACAACUUCUAUAAUAAAUCGAUCAUCUGUCUCUUUCAAGCAUAAUGUGCAUUUGUUCAUUGACUGUACUAUUGUCCAUAAAAUAUGUUGCUAGUUGCUACUAUAAGCAUGUGAUAGAUUGAUUCUAAUGACUAUGUGCUAAUCAUAUAUUACUCUGAUACCACAGGGACUACUAAACUGAGGAACUUUGAGAACAACAUUGGGUCUCUGAUUGUGAAGCUUACAGAGGAAGAUUUGAAAGAAAUUUCUGAAGCAGUUCCUGUUGAUGAAAUUGCUGGGAAACGAGAAUAUGAUAGCUUAUCAAAAUAUACUUGGAAGUUUGCAACUACACCUCCAAAGUAAUUGCAUAGAGAAGAACCGUUGAAGUGUGUAGUGAGUUACUGUUGAGUUUUUAUUUAGUCAUUAUGCUCAUCUCAAUAAAAUAACCUCUGGGAUUCUAGGAGUGAUCUGUUGGAAAAUGGAAAAGCAGUUAUACUACUACCUUCAAAUGUAUGCAUGCCAUUGUUAAUUCUACAACUUAACUGACACUCCUUUUACUAGCAAAAAAUUAUCUCUUAUGUGCAUAUUUCACCAUCUGCACUAUCAGUUCUACUUAACAGCUAUAAUGGCAUUCUGUUUUAGACUAUGGAUCUUUUUUCAUGAACUGAUUGAUAGUGGUUGAGUGAGCCAUAAUUUCUGCAUACAAAUCAGGGCCGGUCCCGACAUUUUGGAGGCCCUGGGCAAAUAAUAACAAUGGAUCCUUAAUAAUUUUAAGGUUCGAAAUUUCAUCAGAACUAUUAUAUUGGUUUGUUUGGCAACUUUCGAACCCGAUACAUAAAAGUAACAUAAACAGUUACUAACCACUAGACCAGCUCAAGUCAUUAAUAACAUCUUGAACAUUAAUUAUUAUAACUAAAUUUUAUUUUAGGGGAAAAGUUUAAUGAGAUUUUUUUUUGGGCCCCUUCUUUUUAGAAGCCCUGGGCUGUGGGCCUGCUUGCACAGGUCCAGGGCCGGCCUUGAUACAAAUAUCAGGGAACAAUGACUGCGGGACAGUAGCUCAAUUCGCCUGUAUCAAUCUUUAAAGCUGGAGAGUAUAACACUAUUUUAUAAAUUAGGUUACUCUUAUUGGAUAUUGGGGUUAUAAUGGUCUCUACUCGAGCUAUCUUCAAAGGAUAAUGUUUGGGGGACAUACGACGAUCCGCAACCACCAAUCAAUACACAUAUUGUGACCGUUUUUUGGGCGGCUUGAGACACAUCCACAACGUUAAUUAAAUUCAAAUGGUUUUUCAUUGUUAAGGUUUAACUUUGUUUUUAAAAUCAUAUUCAAACAAAUUUACACUUUUUAUUCUAAUUAUAAUAAUUAUUUUUAAUUUAAAUUUAAAUUACUUUUAUAACUUAAUAUUGAAAUUUAUGAUUUAAAUUAAAUGUUCACUAAUUUAUUUUAAUUCCAUUUAUAUUAUUUACCCAACUUUUUAGGGUACGAUUUAAAAAAUUAAAAUCACUUCUAAUAAUAAAUUACAAAUCAUAAUUUUUUUUUCCUAACUAAACGUGUGUUGAAUUUUGUAUAAAUUGCAAAACUAAACAUAAUAAAAUAUAAGAAAUUAGUGUUCCAUAAUUAGUGAUACAGAAGAAAGUGUAGAGAAAGUCAUCUUAUUCUCUAUUAGCAAAUAAAAGUAUAUCAGGUCGAUCCUUAGAUGCUAGAGCUGAUCAGAAAAAAGCAAAAAUUGCUAUAAGCAAAGCCAUGUGACCUUAAUUGCAAGAAAAGUUCACUCAGAGCAUCUUCAAUGAUAGGAACUUAUUUUGGGACUUAACUCAAUUUUUGUGGGUCCAAAUUGCUACAUAAAAUUUAAACACCCAUAAGGUCUUCAUACACAUUUCACUCUAGUGGUUGAGAUCUUAUUUUACUUUUUGACUGUACCCACAGUACCCAAUAUAUUUAUAUUAUUUAUUCCCCUCCUUAAUUUUCACUUUGGUUAUGGUAUUGAAAGAGAGAGGAAAAAAUAUUAUUUUAUUUAAGAUCUCACAUUUGAGAGUACAUGAGCUAAGGCAUGCCAUGUAGGAUAGCUCCAAUGGUGAGACCUAAUAAGAUCCGGAUCUUAUUUUAAGGUCCCAAAAUAAGGACUCCAUUAGAGAUGCUCUUAAACACGAAACACGAAUGCUUUUUCCAGCAAAUGUAAUUUGGACAGAAAGCAUUGAAUUAGAGCAAAUAAAUUGAUGUUAAAGGCAGAGGUUCAGUUUCUUGGUUAACUAAGAAUCACUCCAAGAAACUAGAAAGUGAGUUAGUAUAGUGGUUCAAUAUUUUAUUUUUUAAAUAUACGGUUAAAGCUUAUGUAAAUGAAAACAACUCUUUUAUAAACCUUUAUUAUUUUUUGCGCUAGUGUGAGAGAUUAGUCACACAAAUAUCUAUUAUGGGAAUAUCCCUACGAAUCAUUCCAAGCCACGAAUUAUAUUCCAAGAAAGCAUUAGAACGUUCUAGUAAGUAGUACUUACCGAACUAGGUCUGCAGUUAAAACUAAUUGAAGUCCUAAAGGUUCCACGUCAAACACCAACCAUUUUAACCCCUGAUUCACCCUUAUGGCCCUCAAGGGAACCACGUCUCCUCCUUUUACCAUGUGUGGACAAGAGAACCCACGUGAACCAAUUACCUUUUGGACCUAUACACACUAGACGUGGAACCAAACUGUCCACCACAAUGCUUGCCUUAAUUCUAUAUAAACCACCUCAUUCAUUGCUACUAUACCUAACAAAGGAGGUGUAGCAUUAAAAGCAUAGCUUAAAAACUUUACUAAGCUCUUACUAGAAAUUCUCUGAUACAACUUGUUCUUGAGUUAACUUUGCCAAUUUCUCUAAUUCAUCAAUGGCUGCUAUGCAAUCUAUCAUCUCUAGCCCUAUGAUCCGCAUGACCACCAGGUCAAGGGUGAACCAGUUCACCACUCCUGCUGUGUACAUGCCAAGCCUGAGAAGGAAUGCUACCCUGAGAGUUAGGUCCAUGGCUGAGGUAAGGGUGCUUAAAAUAAUUUUCAGACAUAUAGUACUUGUAACAUGCUUCAAUUUUUUAUGAGCACUAAUUUUGUUUGUACACAUGACGAGGAACAAUCUUGUGUGUAACUAUAUGAAUUUUGGUUAAUGUUUGAAGGGAGAGCCAAAAGAGCAACCUAUUGAACCUGUUACUAGCGCUAGCCCAGUUACACCAUCACCACCACCACCACCACCAAAACCUCGUGCACCAAAGGUGAGUGAGCCAAGUGUUCACUAUUUUUUUUUAUAAUAAGUUAUGCUAAUUACACCAUGGAUCUACAGUAUGAGACUUUUACUGACAUGAGUGAUGGUAAAUUUGCAGGUGAGCACUAAGUUUUCUGAUGUGAUGGCAUUUGGUGGGCCUGCACCUGAGAGGAUCAAUGGAAGACUAGCCAUGAUUGGGUUUGUAGCUGCAAUGGCAGUGGAAGUUGCCAGAGGGCAGGGAGUGUUUGAACAAAUAUCAGAUGGUGGAGUUCCAUGGUUCUUGGGGACAAGUGUGGUGUUCACUCUUGCUUCUUUGGUUCCACUGUUUCAAGGGGUUAGUGUGGAGUCAAAAUCCAAAGGUCUCAUGACCUCUGAUGCAGAACUCUGGAAUGGAAGGCUUGCUAUGUUGGGUUUGAUUGCCUUGGCCUUUACAGAGUAUGUUAAGGGAGGAACCCUGGUGUAAGAGUUCAAAGGCUUAGGAACAAUGUCUUAUAAGGAUUGUUUUAUAGUAGGUGAUGUAUGAAACUUGGUGUGUUUUUUAAUGCACAUAUAGAAUUAAUGAAAUUUCAUACCUUAAUCAUAAUCAGAUUUCUUGUUAUCACUUCUAAACUAAGAGCAAAAAUCGUUGAAGGCUAUUAUUAACUGUUGUGAUCCAUACAAAUCAAACAAUGUAUUGUUAACCUGCCUUAAUCGAAUAACUUAAACUGCACACAUGGAGAAAAGUUGGAAAUUGGAAAACAUGAUGAAGUUCUUGCUAAUGAGAAUCAGGUAAUUACUAUCCGGCAAUUGCAAUUAUAAUAAACAGAAAAUUAAUGUGGUUAAAACAUUCAGACCAUUUGUGUGGGGUAACCUGCAGUAAACCUUUAACUAUUGUAAUAGCUAAUAUCUAUCUAACAAUGCAUUCAGGAUAACAUUGAAAUGUCAUUAAACUAGUUCAUACUUCAUAAUGAUAGAUUCGAUGACAAUUGGCCAAUUGCAAUAGCAGAUACUUAAAUUACAUUUCAGGAUACCGAAUGGAACUUUCACUCUUAAUCAUAGAGAAAGCACAACAUGUCCUUUCUUUCUUGGUUGCCAAACACUUGAGACAGAAGAUUACAGCUGGGAGAUAAGUUUACACAUAUGGACUUGGGAAGCUUGGAGGGGUUGUUCAUAAAAUUGACUUGAGUAUGACUUGAGUUGGCAAUGUUAAAUCAUAAAAUACUAAUUAACUCAAUAUUCUGCUUUUGUUUAUGCUGUCGACCCACUUUUUUUAACACAUAAUGAUUAACAUUUAUUUGAAUUACUCUCAAUAUGUCCUUUUUUUCUUGGUUGCCAAACACUUGAGAGAGAAGGUUACACACAUGAAUUUGGGAAGCUGGGAGGGGUUGUUCAUAAAAUUGACUUGAGUAUGACUUGUGUCGACAAUGUUAAAUCAUAAAAUACUAAUUAACUCAAGUGGUUGUUCAUAAAAUUGACUUGAAUAUGACUUGAGUCAACAAUAUUAUUAAAUCAUAAAAUACUAAUUAACUAAAUAUUCUGCUUCCGUUCAUGCUAUCGACCAUAUCUUUUUAACACAUAUUAAUUGAAAUUUAUUUGGGUUUCACUCAACAUGUCCUUUUUUUUCUUGGUUGCCAAACCCUUCAGAGAGAAGGUUACACCUGAGACUGAGAUAGAAGUUGACACAUAUGGACUUGGGAAGCUUGGAGUGGUUGUCCAUAAAAUUAACUUGAGUCAAAAAUGUUAAAUAAUAAAAUAUUAAUUAACUCAAUAUUUUGCUUUUGUUUAUGCUAUCGACCCUCUCUUUUUAGCACAAUGAUUGAAAUUUAUUUGGGUUCUCACUCAAAAUGUGAGUCUCACCACCAAUUUAGUAUGUUUCAUGUGAAUUUCAACCACUAAAAGAAAGAAUUGAAAAAAGAGUUAAAAUAAGUGCUGUUAGCCACUUCUCAUAGUAACACUAUUGAAUAAUAUAGUGCUGACUGACAAUUGACCAAUGUUAACAUACAUAGUGUCAAACAUGGUGCUGACACAAAACGAGCUGGGUAGUAGAAACAACUAAAACUUUAGAGGAACAACAGCCUUUAACUAAGUACAAAAAUAGAAGCCGUGAUAUUGGGUUUUUUACCUAAGUAGUGUAGUUUUGUAGUAAAAUUACAGUUUUGAGGUACUUUUUUUUAUUUACCAUUCUGGUAUAAAUCGCCAUUGUCAGUGGCAAUUUUAUUUUAUUUUUUUAAAGAAUCGCUAAUGCUAUUGGCAUUUUAGUUUUUCUUUUUAGUUUUUUUAUUAAAUUGCCAACAUGGUUGGUGUUUUUCUUAUUUUUUUAAACAAUCGCCAAACAUGUUGGCGUUUUAUUACUUUUUUUACAGUUUUUUUUAAAUGUCAUAUAUAUAUAUAUAUAAACAACUAAAAUUGUAUUUAAUCAAUUGAUACUCACCCGUGUCUUAUUCACUUUUAUAGUGUCUCCGAUGGUUAGUUUAAGUGAUAAAAGUUUAAGACAUGAGAGUUGAGUGAGAUGAAUGGUGAAGGAUUCAUGGUUCGAACCCUAGGAGAGACUAAUUUACUAACAUUACUAACAACUAACAUUUACUUAUAAAAAAACUCACUUUUGCAGUACUAUGGUCAUAAGUAUUUGAACCGAUAUUUAAAGAUAAACAAUACGCAUUACAUAAUUUAAUUUAAGAGAAAUGGCACAAAAGUAUGUGAGUAUCAAUGGAUUAAAUACCAUUUUAAUUGCUGGUUUUUUAAAAAAAUAUAAGCCAACAAGUUGGCCAUUUAAAAAAAAUGUAAAAAAAGUAGUAAAACACCAACAUGGUUGGGGAUUGUUAAAAAAAAUUAAAAAUAAGAAAAAUGCCAACAUGGUUGGCAAUUUAAUAAAAAAAGGAAAAAAUAAAAUAAAACACCAAUAGCAUCGACGAUUUUUUAAAAAAUAAAAAAAAUGUCACUAACAGUGGCGAUUUAUACUAAAAUGGUAAAUAAAUAAAAAAGUACACAAAGCUGUAAUUUUGUUACAAAAUUAAACUGGGGUUGUCUAAAUGACCCAAGGUAAAAAUUGGGUUAAAUCACCCUUUGAUGAAGUGUGCCAAUAAUAUUAUAACAUGUAUUUUUAUAAAUUCUAACUUAUUUCAGUAUUUAUUUUAUUUAUAUUUUCAUAAUAUUCAUUUUAUAUAAUAAUUUAUUUGCAUACUAAUAAACCAAUCAAUUAGUAAUAAUAACACAUAACUCCUUUUUCAAAAAGAAAAAUUGAGAACCCUAAUCCCAAUUUCUUCCAUGCUUUGAUCAAAAUCAUUUGAGUAAAAUCUCUCAAAUAUGAAACUUCUGUGUAAUCAAUUGAUUGUAGUAAACAAGCAAACUCUUCCUCGUCAAUUACGUUUUCAUUCAAAUGAUAAAAAGAAAUUAAUUUCUGCACCAUAUUUCAUUACCAUUGCACGAGUUAUCUUCAAAUGUCAUAGGUUUUUGAUGUGAAAUCAAUAAAUCCCUAAUCACCCCCUUUAAGAAAUGUAUGCCAUAAACUCUAUGCUAAGAGUAAAAGCAAUUAGGAAGAUGCAUGAAAGGUGAUUGCCGACGACGGUGAUGCAACUUUGCUUCUUGGGAGAACAAAUUAGAGUAGCAGACCAAGAAAGCAAGGAAGAAAUUGGGGAUUAGGGUUCUCAAUUUUUGUUUGGAAAAAAAAGUUGUGUGAUUAUAUCAUAAUUAAUUUGUUUAUUGUGCAAAUAGAUUAUUUUAUAGAAUGAAUAUUAUGAAAAUAUAAAUGAAAGAAAUAGUGAAAUGACUUGGAAUUUAUAAAACACAUAAUAUAAUAUUAUUCACACACCUCAUCAAAGGAUGAUUUAACCCAAUUUUUACCUUGGGUCAUUUAGACAACCCCAAUUAAACUACACUACUCGGGUACAAAACCCGCAAUAUUCCAUCGAUACUUAUACUAGCGCAAGAGCUUAUUCAUUACAUGGAUAUCUCAUUUUCAUAUAGAGGGAUGGAUCUCUACACUCAUCCAAGGCUGGUAAGAAGCAAGCACAUGCAGUUCAUAAGCAGAAUGAAAUGAAGCACGGCAAACAAAUUGUAAGGGUAAUGAGACUACACGAAUAAGAAGCUCCAGGUGGAACCAUACCAACGAGAUAAUACUAGUUGCCAGACAAAUGGGAUGAAAAACUCAUCUGGAUGACUCACUUGUUCAUAUGUGAAGCGCAGUUGAGUAAACAUCUGAAAAACAAGAUUCAGCCUAAUAGAAACAAACAAGACAAGUACUGCUCCUUAUAUACCAAGAAACCAAAAGAACGUUCUAGUAGUGACCGAACUAGGUCUGCAGUUAAAACUAACACCAACCAUUUUAACCCCUGAUUCACCCUUAUGGCCCUCAAGGGAACCACGUCUCCUCCUUUUACCAUGUGUGGACAAGAGAACCCACGUGAACCAAUUACCUUUUGGGCCUAUACACACUUGACGUGGAACCUAAAUGUCCACCACAAUGCUUGCCUUUAAUUCUAUAUAAACUACCUUAUUCUAUUCAAUGUAUCAUCAAACAAAGGAGGUGUAGCAUUAAAAGCAUAGCUUGUAAACUUGACUAAGCUCUUCCUUGAAAUUCUCUGAUAUAGCAAGUUCUUGUGUUAUCUCAACCAACACUUCCAAUUCAGCAAUGGCUUCCUCAACUUCUGCUAUGCAAUCUAUCCUGGCUAACCCUAUGAUCCGCAUGACCACCAGGUCAAGGGUGAACCAGUUCACCAUUCCUUCUGUCUACAUGCCAAGCCUGAGAAGGAACUCUAGCUUGAGAGUUAGGUCCAUGGCUGAAGAGCCAAAAGAGCAAAGUGCUAGCCCAGUUACUCCAUCACCACCACCACCAAAACCUCGUGCACCAAAGGUGAGUGAGCCAAGUGUUUGAAGAAUAUAAUUUACAUAGUUGUGACUCUGUUCACUAUUUUCUUUACAUUUAAUUAGUUAUAUAUGCUAAUUAAUCCUUGGAUAUGAGACUUUACUAACAUGAGUGAUGGUAAAAUUGCAGGUGAGCACUAAGUUUUCAGAUGUGAUGGCAUUUGGUGGGCCUGCACCUGAGAGGAUCAAUGGAAGAUUGGCCAUGAUUGGGUUUGUAGCUGCAAUGGCAGUGGAAGUUGCCAGAGGGCAGGGAGUGUUUGAACAAAUAUCAGAUGGUGGAGUUCCAUGGUUCUUGGGAACUAGUGUGGUGCUCACUCUAGCUUCAUUGGUUCCACUGUUUCAAGGGGUUAGUGUGGAGUCAAAGUCCAAAGGAGUCAUGACCUCUGAUGCAGAGCUCUGGAAUGGAAGGCUUGCUAUGUUGGGUUUGAUUGCCUUGGCCUUUACAGAGUAUGUUAAGGGAGGAAUCCUGGUGUAAGAGUUCAAAGGCUUAGGAACAAUGUAUUAUAAGGAUUGAUUUAUAGAAGGUUAUGCAUGAAACUUGGUGUGUUUAUUAAUACACAUAGAAUUAAUGAAAUUUCAUACCUUAUUCAUAAACAGAUUUCUUGUUAUCUAUUUCUAAACUAAGAGCAAAAAUCGUUGAAGGCUAUUAUUAACUGUUG
rnacentral:lncRNA from 1 species